rnacentral:rRNA from 1 species
UACGUAGGAGGCAAGCGUUGUCCGGAAUUACUGGGCGUAAAGCGCGUGUAGGUGGUGGGACAAGUCUGCUGUGAAAGCGCCUGGCUUAACCGGGCGAGGUCGGCGGAAACUGUCACACUUGAGGACGGUAGAGGGGGGUGGAAUUCCCGGUGUAGUGGUGAAAUGCGUAGAGAUCGGGAGGAACACCUGUGGCGAAGGCGGCCCCCUGGGCCGGCCCUGACACUGGGACGCGAAGGCGUGGGGAGCGAACGGG